rnacentral:rRNA from 1 species
AGUGAACGCUGGCGGUAGGCCUAACACAUGCAAGUCGAACGGCAGCACAGUAAGAGCUUGCUCUUACGGGUGGCGAGUGGCGGACGGGUGAGGAAUACAUCGGAAUCUACUUUUUCGUGGGGGAUAACGUAGGGAAACUUACGCUAAUACCGCAUACGACCUACGGGUGAAAGCAGGGGAUCUUCGGACCUUGCGCGAUUGAAUGAGCCGAUGUCGGAUUAGCUAGUUGGCGGGGUAAAGGCCCACCAAGGCGACGAUCCGUAGCUGGUCUGAGAGGAUGAUCAGCCACACUGGAACUGAGACACGGUCCAGACUCCUACGGGAGGCAGCAGUGGGGAAUAUUGGACAAUGGGCGCAAGCCUGAUCCAGCCAUGCCGCGUUGGUGAAGAAGGCCUGCGGGUUGUAAAGCCCUUUUGUUGGGAAAGAAAAGCAGCAGGUUAAUACCCCGCUGUUCUGACGGUACCCAAAGAAUAAGCACCGGCUAACUUCGUG